GACGAACGCUGGCGGCGUGCUUAACACAUGCCAGUCGAACGGAAAGGCCCUGCUUGCAGGGUACUCGAGUGGCGAACGGGUGAGUAACACGUGGGUGAUCUGCCCUGCACUUCGGGAUAAGCUUGGGAAACUGGGUCUAAUACCGGAUAGGAGCCAUCUUUAGUGUGGUGGUUGGAAAGUUUUUUCGGUGUAGGAUGAGCUCGCGGCCUAUCAGCUUGUUGGUGGGGUAAUGGCCUACCAAGGCGGCGACGGGUAGCCGGCCUGAGAGGGUGUACGGCCACAUUGGGACUGAGAUACGGCCCAGACUCCUACGGGAGGCAGCAGUGGGGAAUAUUGCACAAUGGGCGCAAGCCUGAUGCAGCGACGCCGCGUGGGGGAUGAAGGCCUUCGGGUUGUAAACUCCUUUCGCUAGGGACGAAGCUUUUUUGUGACGGUACCUAGAUAAGAAGCACCGGCUAACUACGUG
rnacentral:rRNA from 1 species